rnacentral:misc_RNA from 1 species
ACAUUCUCCCCCACCCAAUCCCGCAAACGCCCUCGUUUGCGUGCAUUCGCGUCGCUUCCCUGCGCAACUUGAUCACACUCCCUCGCACAUAGGAGUCCACAAGCCAUUCGUUGCGCUCGCCCAACGCAAACACUUGAGCAGCAUAUUGGCCACCAGUUUGCCAGUGCACUCACCCACUUCCGCACGCAGACAUCCUCUAAAAUGCCUUUGCCAAGAUUCAUCACGUUGCUCGCCAGAUGCUGCAUACCAGCUGCCGCAUGAUAGGCCGCACUUGUCCCUCGGAUCGACCCC